UGCCUGCUCUUCGGUUUCUGCGGCUGCGUGCAAGUCGCGUGAUGGGAAGGUUGGUUGUGAGGGCCGAUGCAUUCCCAUCUGCGAGAUGCUGCAUGUUGAGAGGGUUUCCGACGGCACCGUGCCUUUUUCCACCUGGAGCUAUGCCAAGGGUUCAGCGGUUUGAGUUCUGGGUCUCUGCACGAUCGAUCGCAAGUCGUGAGGUUGACUGCGGCAUGGGCCACCUCCCUUCUCUCGAGCAUGUCCAGGUUUAUCUGCAGCGUGAGAAUUCCAGCGAUGAAGAGAUGGAGACAGCCAAGGCUUGGCUGAGGCGCGCAGCAGAAGCCCAUCCAAAACGUCCCACCAUUGAAAUAUCCUAGACUGUUGAGUGCUGACAUGCCUUUGCCGCCAGUAAGACCUCCAGUGAAAUCCUGGAGUCAGGUACUAGUAAUUCCAUCAGUUGAUGCCGUGGAUGCUGUUCCAACAUUUUGAUAGGCCAGAAACAAUUCACAGUGCCGUCGCAGUCACCAACAAUUCACUGUGCCGUCCAAGUCACCAACAAUUCACUGUACCGCCGCAACUCCCAAUAAACCAAGGCUCAUUCCCUCCAACGUAUGCUCAGAUUCUGCCCUUUCACAUGAUUGUUCAUGAUGAACUAUUUAUUUCUCCUGCAUUUGCUUUCAGAAACGCAGCACCUCAUUUCCUUUAUUAAGUCAAGACUCUGUACAAUAAAAGUUUGCAUUCAGUUGGCACUAUUUGUAGCAGUAAUGCCUCUACGUGUAUUUGAUUGUUCACAUACAACAUUGUUAUGUUUUACUGGCUUAUAUUAAUUAAGAGUUGAUUGAACUCC